rnacentral:rRNA from 1 species
AGGCGAACGCUGGCGGCGUGCCUAAUACAUGCAAGUCGAGCGGACAGAAGGGAGCUUGCUCCCGGAUGUUAGCGGCGGACGGGUGAGUAACACGUGGGUAACCUGCCUGUAAGACUGGGAUAACUCCGGGAAACCGGAGCUAAUACCGGAUAGUUCCUUGAACCGCAUGGUUCAAGGAUGAAAGACGGUUUCGGCUGUCACUUACAGAUGGACCCGCGGCGCAUUAGCUAGUUGGUGGGGUAAUGGCUCACCAAGGCGACGAUGCGUAGCCGACCUGAGAGGGUGAUCGGCCACACUGGGACUGAGACACGGCCCAGACUCCUACGGGAGGCAGCAGUAGGGAAUCUUCCGCAAUGGACGAAAGUCUGACGGAGCAACGCCGCGUGAGUGAUGAAGGUUUUCGGAUCGUAAAGCUCUGUUGUUAGGGAAGAACAAGUGCGAGAGUAACUGCUCGCACCUUGACGGUACCUAACCAGAAAGCCACGGCUAACUACGUGCCAGCAGCCGCGGUAAUACGUAGGUGGCAAGCGUUGUCCGGAAUUAUUGGGCGUAAAGGGCUCGCAGGCGGUUUCUUAAGUCUGAUGUGAAAGCCCCCGGCUCAACCGGGGAGGGUCAUUGGAAACUGGGAAACUUGAGUGCAGAAGAGGAGAGUGGAAUUCCACGUGUAGCGGUGAAAUGCGUAGAGAUGUGGAGGAACACCAGUGGCGAAGGCGACUCUCUGGUCUGUAACUGACGCUGAGGAGCGAAAGCGUGGGGAGCGAACAGGAUUAGAUACCCUGGUAGUCCACGCCGUAAACGAUGAGUGCUAAGUGUUAGGGGGUUUCCGCCCCUUAGUGCUGCAGCUAACGCAUUAAGCACUCCGCCUGGGGAGUACGGUCGCAAGACUGAAACUCAAAGGAAUUGACGGGGGCCCGCACAAGCGGUGGAGCAUGUGGUUUAAUUCGAAGCAACGCGAAGAACCUUACCAGGUCUUGACAUCCUCUGACAACCCUAGAGAUAGGGCUUUCCCUUCGGGGACAGAGUGACAGGUGGUGCAUGGUUGUCGUCAGCUCGUGUCGUGAGAUGUUGGGUUAAGUCCCGCAACGAGCGCAACCCUUGAUCUUAGUUGCCAGCAUUCAGUUGGGCACUCUAAGGUGACUGCCGGUGACAAACCGGAGGAAGGUGGGGAUGACGUCAAAUCAUCAUGCCCCUUAUGACCUGGGCUACACACGUGCUACAAUGGACAGAACAAAGGGCUGCAAGACCGCAAGGUUUAGCCAAUCCCAUAAAUCUGUUCUCAGUUCGGAUCGCAGUCUGCAACUCGACUGCGUGAAGCUGGAAUCGCUAGUAAUCGCGGAUCAGCAUGCCGCGGGUGAAUACGUUCCCGGGCCUUGUACACACCGCCCGUCACACCACGAGAGUUUGCACACCCGAAGUC